AUGCACGCUUGCGGCGUGCCUCAUCCCUGCCCGUCGAGCGCACGGACGAGAAGCUUUCUUCUCUGAUGUUAGCGGCGGACGGGUGAGUAACACUUUGAUAACCUACCUAUAAGUCUGGGAUAACUUCGGGAAACCGGAGCUAAUACCGGAUGAUAUUUUUAACCGCAUGGUUCAAAAGUGAAAGACGGUCUUGCUGUCACUUAUAGAUGGAUCCGCGCUGCAUUAGCUAGUUGGUAAGGUAACGGCUUACCAAGGCAACGAUGCAUAGCCGACCUGAGAGGGUGAUCGGCCACACUGGAACUGAGACACGGACCAGACGCCGACGGGAGGAAGCAGUAGGGAAUAUUCCGCAAUGGGCGAAAGCCUGACGGAGCAACGCCGCGUGAGUGAUGAGGGUCUUCGGAUCGUAAAACUCUGUUAUUAGGGAAGAAAAGAUGUGUAAGUAACUGUGCACAUCUUGACGGUACCUAAUCAGAAAGCCACGGCUAACUACGUG
rnacentral:rRNA from 1 species